CACGUAGGGGGCAAGCGUUGUCCGGAUUCAUUGGGCGUAAAGAGCUCGUAGGCGGCUUGUCACGUCGGGUGUGAAAGCCCGGGGCUUAACCCCGGGUCUGCAUUCGAUACGGGCUAGCUAGAGUGUGGUAGGGGAGAUCGGAAUUCCUGGUGUAGCGGUGAAAUGCGCAGAUAUCAGGAGGAACACCGGUGGCGAAGGCGGAUCUCUGGGCCAUUACUGACGCUGAGGAGCGAAAGCGUGGGGAGCGAACAGG
rnacentral:rRNA from 1 species